CCUACGGGGGGCUGCAGUGGGGAAUAUUGGACAAUGGGGGCAACCCUGAUCCAGCCAUGCCGCGUGUGUGAAGAAGGCCCUCGGGUUGUAAAGCACUUUCAGUGAGGAAGAACGCCUGGUGGUUAAUACCCAUCAGGAAAGACAUCACUCACAGAAGAAGCACCGGCUAACUCCGUGCCAGCAGCCGCGGUAAUACGGAGGGUGCGAGCGUUAAUCGGCAUUACUGGGCGUAAAGCGCGCGUAGGUGGCUUGAUAAGCCGGUUGUGAAAGCCCCGGGCUCAACCUGGGAACGGCAUCCGGAACUGUCAAGCUAGAGUGCAGGAGAGGAAGGUAGAAUUCCCGGUGUAGCGGUGAAAUGCGUAGAGAUCGGGAGGAAUACCAGUGGCGAAGGCGGCCUUCUGGACUGACACUGACACUGAGGUGCGAAAGCGUGGGUAGCAAACAGGAUUAGAUACCCCGGUAGUC
rnacentral:rRNA from 1 species